UGGCUCAGAUUGAACGCUGGCGGCAGGCCUAACACAUGCAAGUCGGACGGUAGCACAGAGAGCUUGCUCUUGGGUGACGAGUGGCGGACGGGUGAGUAAUGUCUGGGGAUCUGCCCGAUAGAGGGGGAUAACCACUGGAAACGGUGGCUAAUACCGCAUAACGUCGCAAGACCAAAGAGGGGGACCUUCGGGCCUCUCACUAUCGGAUGAACCCAGAUGGGAUUAGCUAGUAGGCGGGGUAAUGGCCCACCUAGGCGACGAUCCCUAGCUGGUCUGAGAGGAUGACCAGCCACACUGGAACUGAGACACGGUCCAGACUCCUACGGGAGGCAGCAGUGGGGAAUAUUGCACAAUGGGCGCAAGCCUGAUGCAGCCAUGCCGCGUGUAUGAAGAAGGCCUUCGGGUUGUAAAGUACUUUCAGCGGGGAGGAAGGCGGUGCGGUUAAUAACCGCGCCGAUUGACGUUACCCGCAGAAGAAGCACCGGCUAACUCCGUGCCAGCAGCCGCGGUAAUACGGAGGGUGCAAGCGUUAAUCGGAAUUACUGGGCGUAAAGCGCACGCAGGCGGUCUGUUAAGUCAGAUGUGAAAUCCCCGGGCUUAACCUGGGAACUGCAUUUGAAACUGGCAGGCUUGAGUCUUGUAGAGGGGGGUAGAAUUCCAGGUGUAGCGGUGAAAUGCGUAGAGAUCUGGAGGA
rnacentral:rRNA from 1 species